CUAUAAUAUAACUAUACAGAUUGAUAGACUGAUUUAAAAAUACCAUCAAUAAAGUGGAGUUAAAGUCUUAUAGGAUUGUAAGUAUGUUUUAUUUUAUCACCUUGCACUUUCAGUCUUGACUGGUUUUCUACAGCAGUUGGUUCAAAUUUCUGACCAGUUGAACAAUUUGGUUUAAUAAAACAAAUUGCAAUUUGGUCAAAAUUUUGAAUGAAUUGCAAUU
rnacentral:lncRNA from 1 species